rnacentral:rRNA from 1 species
GACGUAGGGGGCGAGCGUUGUCCGGAUUUAUUGGGCGUAAAGCGCGCGUAGGCGGUUCGUUAAGUCGGGUGUGAAAACCCGGGGCUCAACCCCGGGCCUGCAUCCGAUACUGGCGGACUCGAGGCAGACAGGGGAGAGUGGAAUUCCCGGUGUAGCGGUGAAAUGCGCAGAUAUCGGGAGGAACACCGGUGGCGAAGGCGGCUCUCUGGGUCUGUCCUGACGCUCAGGCGCGAAAGCUAGGGGAGCAAACAGGAUUAGAUACCCUGGUAGUCCUAGCCGUAAACGUUGGGUGCUAGGUGUGGGGCGGCGUUCGACCCGCUCCGUGCCGAAGCUAACGCAUUAAGCACCCCGCCUGGGGAGUACGGCCGCAAGGCUAAA